ACUGGCUUUUAUUAGUGGCAGGUGGGCAUGGCUCCUGCUGCUUUUGUCUCCUCUUCCCUUGCUUUGUUGAAUGCAGUCUCAUUUCAGCUUCCUGGGAGUUCUCAGCUGGUGCUGAGCAGGAGAAAAGGUUCUCUCUGUUCUUCCAGAGAGUGGAACUGGAAUGCCAUCCCCUAUCCCUGUGGGAAGAGGGCAUGGUGGAGAUGUUGUCACUCAAGGAUAUGUCCUCCAGGCUGGCUGACAACAGCAGGAAGAGCUCCUGGGUAUUGCCUCUGACCAAAGGUUUGGUGCUUCGUCCAUCUGUUUCUUGCCUGCAAACACAAAGCAUAAGAGACAUAUGAAGAAUAGUUUGUCGAGUCCAGCAUUAUUUUUAUUUAAAAGAGACAAAUACCUACCAAGUUCCUCCACGCUGCAGGAAAAGGUACCCUGCCAGCAUUUAUGCUGCCUACAGUGACUUCCAAAAGAAGCUCUUAGCAUGCAGCACAGCAUGCCUAGAAGUGUCAGGCACAUAGAUCAGGUGUAUGUGGGACUGCCCAACCUCCAGGCUACCCAUUAAUUUUUAUGUGUGUUUUGCCUUGAAGUCCCCAUCCACAAAGGGAAGGAAAUAAGACAUGUCUGGGUUCUCGUGCACUAAACCUACAGAGACCUCCAGAGCAAACCUGCACUUGGUGCCCAUCCAGCUCAGGUACUGCUGCUGGCUCUAUCUGCAGUGUACAGCCCUGUCCACAGGCCUUGCAGACACCCACAGUGAUGUGCAAGUUAAUGUGGUUUCACACUGCUUCUGGGAGCAGUUGGUUUGGGAGCAGAAGAAUAUUUUAAUGACGGUCUACAAAUUGAAUUUUAAUUGUGAACAAAUGAUGAGCUUUGUCUCUGCAUCAGUAGUCUCACAAACAGGAUCCUGACCCUAUAAAUAAAUGCUAGUUGAACCUCGCAUUUUAAACCAGCUGAUCCCUAGAGAACAAUUCUGUCUUUCAUACUCCAUCCCCAUAAAUAUGCCAAAUUUGUCUCCAUUAUGCCAUGUCAAGCAGGGCCACCAACAGCACCUCACCAUAAAUAGGGCUUUUGUUCCCUUUUCUAUGUGGCACCAUGAACAUCCAGCACCUGUGCAAGUCCUCAAGAAAUCAUCCUGGGACAUGGGCAGGCUGAGAUGGGAAAUGGGAAGUGUAUCUCCCUGGUAUAUCUGGAUGGAUCUUGUACUUCUCAGAUGGACCAGCUGUCCUCACAUCAGAGCACGUACUGUUUAAGCUCUCAUCAAGUGACAGAAGCAAUAAGAGCAAUUAAACAAAGAGGACUAAUGGGAAUUUUAAUCUUCUCUCUGCUAAAUGAUGAUGGAUGUCAGCAAAGCAUACGUGGAAGAGAGUAUUUGAAUAAGCUCCCCCUGCUGUGCCUACUGUUACCAAUGUGCUUGCAGAAAGUUUCCCUGCUAUAAAUCAAGCACAGUAUUUUCGGGGCCCACCAAUGACACCAAACUUGUUUCCUGCUUUUUAGUAGUUGUAGUGAGAUGGUUUCAUCCUCUGAUCUGUUCACGUUGGACUGAUUUUCUUACCUUUACUAUCCAUCUCCAGUGUUUACAAAACUGGAAAAGCAGUGUUAGGAAGCAGGUUCUUUACCUGUGUGUAGAGCAAUAUUGAGAUGGGGGUUUCAGUACUACUUCUUGGCUCAGGUGGGCUCUUCAGGUGUAAAAUUUUAAAUUGGACAUUUGACUUCCUAUGUAAAAGUCAUUUACCUCCUCCUUGGCAAAGUCCAUUCUCUUUCCAUGAACUCAUUAGAGCUUACAAAACCUCUUUUCAUUUAGAACAAGCAGUUUGUAGCAUGCAAAGUGGUGUCGUCCACCUCUGGAUCAAAGGCUUGAAGAGAGAUUUUGGUGACAUCCCAGUUCCCGUCACCUCAUGCUGACCUUCUGAAAAACAAAUGCAAAACUGCCUAUUUCCUCUAAGAAAAAUCCCAGCUGGUGAUUUUCUGAUGUCUCCAGAACAACUUUGAAGAUAGUGUUGAGGCAGAAAGACUAAGCUAAGCAAGGCACUGGAAUAAAGCCAGUAUUCAGGUACAAAAUUGAUGGCAAAGCUGAAUUGUUACAGAGGAAAUCUAUAGAGGAGCUCACAAGCAAUUAAAAUAAAUUCAGAAUGUGAAAUGUAGAAAGCCCAUUUCCAAAUUGGCCUGAGAAUGUUUGCUUAAAAGUGAGUAAAAGCAACAAAGUCCCACAGCCAGAAAGAACAGCUUAAGUUCAUAGAAAAGAAAAAAAAAAAAAAGAAGAAGAAGAAAAA